rnacentral:rRNA from 1 species
UUGGAGAGUUUGAUCCUGGCUCAGGAUGAACGCUGGCGGCGUGCCUAAUACAUGCAAGUCGAGCGAACAGACAAGGAGCUUGCUCCUUUGACGUUAGCGGCGGACGGGUGAGUAACACGUGGGUAACCUACCUAUAAGACUGGGAUAACUUCGGGAAACCGGAGCUAAUACCGGAUAAUAUUUCGAACCGCAUGGUUCGAUAGUGAAAGAUGGUUUUGCUAUCACUUAUAGAUGGACCCGCGCCGUAUUAGCUAGUUGGUAAGGUAACGGCUUACCAAGGCGACGAUACGUAGCCGACCUGAGAGGGUGAUCGGCCACACUGGAACUGAGACACGGUCCAGACUCCUACGGGAGGCAGCAGUAGGGAAUCUUCCGCAAUGGGCGAAAGCCUGACGGAGCAACGCCGCGUGAGUGAUGAAGGUCUUCGGAUCGUAAAACUCUGUUAUUAGGGAAGAACAUACGUGUAAGUAACUAUGCACGUCUUGACGGUACCUAAUCAGAAAGCCACGGCUAACUACGUGCCAGCAGCCGCGGUAAUA